rnacentral:lncRNA from 1 species
AGCCUGCAGAGGGAUACCUGAGGCACUAGUGCAUGAACACUGGUGGGGUGGGGGAAGUGGUUUGCAGCCACAUGCCAGCCAGCAGUGAGGCUCAUGAUAUACUGUGGAGAAAAGCAAGCUACAGAGUGUGCUUGAUACAUUCUGUAAAGCAAAUGACAAAAUAACUCCCUCCACAAGACCUAUGUGUAUGUACAUGUUUGCAGGCAAAAGGGAAGAUGUGAAAGGAACAGACCAGGCAAACAACUCUGGGCAGUGUGGAAAGGACAUACAUAUCUCAAUGGUUGCACUGGGAAUAUUAUGUUUUGAAUAAUAAGUACUGCGGAUGGGGGUGUAUAGCUCAGUAGUGGAGUGUUUGCCUAGCAUGUAUGAAGCCCUGGGUUCAAUUCCUAGCACUGUGAGGGAAAACAAGUUCUCAUCUUAACCAAAACCUGGGUGUUGCAGAUAAGGCCCCUCCUCUGAGGGACUCCCAAGCCAGGGGGAGACUAGCUUCUAGACAUACAAUGACCCUUCAGUUUGUGUCUGGGGCCCCAGAGAUCAUCCCAGGACGAGGGCCUUGGCCUGAACAAGCCCCUGGUGGUGGGGUGGGGAUAGGGCCGACUACACUUGGGAGUCUGCAGGAAAGGUGUAGAUUACUCUCCACCCAGAAAGAGAGUGGUGAGCCCCAGGGAACAAGGAUGGUGUCACAUUGCACAGGCCUUCAGGGCUCUGGACUCUAGCCAGACUCUACUCUGACCUAAAGCAGUCCCCUUCCCACCCAUUAGUGCAUAAGGACACUUGGGACUCUGAGGGACACUGGCCCACACUCACAGAGAAGAGUAGGUUGGGUAGGGGAGCACAAAGUUUCAAUGGGCAUCUGAGUGAGGAGAAAUGUGGCUUCUCUCCAGACCCUGGUGAGCUCUGGCCCUCCACCUCCUCCUCUCCACAGGGUGUGGACUAGGUGGCCACAGGCUUUCGGUGUGGCUGCAGACUCAGGAGGAUGACU